AAUGCCAUACAUGAUAUUUUGUUUUGAGUGCAUUGCAUGUUAAAGUAAAAUUGGAUGCCAUGAAGUUAUAUAUACUUAAACAAGCAAAAUGGACUGAAAAACAAUAUAAAGUAUUGAAUAUAAGUGUCUACAAUUUCACUGAUUGCAAACCACGGAGCAUUUAGUCUAUGGGAAAGACAAUCUUUCCUGCAAAGAAUGGUGGAAACCUCCAGGUUCUGUUGAUGGAAAGAGGAAAAUAGACGCUACAAAUCCUGGUCCAUAAGAUGCUGCCAAGCUUCUAAGGUAACUAAUGGCCACUUUGAUUGACAAUUUCAACUAUGAAUUAACUAAACAAAAGCAUGGCGAGCAUGAUAAAUAUGGUGUUCUCGGUGUUGUUUUGGUCCCUACAAGGUCCAUUGAAAAUUAUCAUGUUAUAUGUGCAAGUUCACUGUUUUGAUCAUUUAAGCAGUGAACAUUUCUUAUAUUUCAAGGUCUUUAUUUAUGUUCUUUGCACAACAUCUCAGGUGGCACCAGCAACAACGAUUAAGCAGUAUCAGUGCUAUUCGAAAACCAAAGCUAGCCAACAAAUAGAUGGAUUUCUCAGGUUUGAACAAUGCAUGCCAAAGUUUAUUUAUUUCAUGAUUUUGUGUUGGUUCAGGAGUCUCGCAUCAUCUGUGAUGGAGCUUUUGAGAGAAUCAGGAUUUGCAGGUAUGUCAUCUGUCGUCUCGUGCUGUUGGUCUAUUAACUGCCAAAUUUGAACGUGGGUAGGACCAUGGUGUGCUAGCCCAAGAAUACUGUGAACGGAGAGAUGAACUUCUUGGAUCCCUGUAUGACCUUGCAAAGCAAAUUAUAGAAGCAAAAAUAUCAGGUUUGGUCUAACUCUACGCCACUAUUUUCUUAAUGUUCUUCUUGCAUUUUUAUAAUUUGCAAGUUCAUCAUGUCUCUUUAUUUCCUUGAGAACAACCAAAGCUAGCCAGCAAAUAGAUCGAUUCCUAAGGUUUUAAACAAUGCAUGCCAAAGUUUAUUUAUUUCAUGAUUCUGUGUUGCUUCAGGAGUCUGGCAUCAACUGUGAUGGAGCUUUUGAGAGAAUCAGGAUCUGCAAGCAUGCCAAUGAAAUCUAAUCU
rnacentral:lncRNA from 1 species